UAGGGAAUCUUCCGCAAUGGACGCAAGUCUGACGGAGCAACGCCGCGUGAGUGAAGAAGGAUUUCGGUUCGUAAAACUCUGUUGUUAGAGAAGAACAGCGCAUAGAGUAACUGUUAUGCGUGUGACGGUAUCUAACCAGAAAGCCACGGCUAACUACGUGCCAGCAGCCGCGGUAAUACGUAGGUGGCAAGCGUUGUCCGGAUUUAUUGGGCGUAAAGCGAGCGCAGGCGGUCAAUUAAGUCUGAUGUGAAAGCCCCCGGCUCAACCGGGGAGGGUCAUUGGAAACUGGUUGACUUGAGUGCAGAAGAGGAGAGUGGAAGUCCAUGUGUAGCGGUGAAAUGCGUAGUUAUAUGGAGGAACACCAGUGGCGAAGGCGACUCUCUGGUCUGUAACUGACGCUGAGGCUCGAAAGCGUGGGUAGCAAACAGG
rnacentral:rRNA from 1 species